AUACGGAGGGUGCAAGCGUUGUUCGGAAUUACUGGGCGUAAAGCGCGCGUAGGUGGUCUGUUAUGUCAGAUGUGAAAGUCCACGGCUCAACCGUGGAAGUGCAUUUGAAACUGGCAGACUUGAGUACUGGAGGGGGUAGUGGAAUUCCCGGUGUAGAGGUGAAAUUCGUAGAUAUCGGGAGGAAUACCGGUGGCGAAGGCGACUCUCUGGACCGAUACUGACGCUGAGACGCGAAAGCGUGGGGAGCAAACAGGAUUAGAAACCCCGGUAGUCC
rnacentral:rRNA from 1 species